rnacentral:rRNA from 1 species
AAGCGACCAAGCGUACACGGUGGAUGCCCUGGCAGUCAGAGGCGAUGAAGGACGUGCUAAUCUGCGAAAAGCGCCGGUAAGGUGAUAUGAACCGUUAUAACCGGCGAUGUCCGAAUGGGGAAACCCAGUGUGACUCGUCACACUAUCAUUAACUGAAUCCAUAGGUUAAUGAGGCGAACCGGGGGAACUGAAACAUCUAAGUACCCCGAGGAAAAGAAAUCAACCGAGAUUCCCCCAGUAGCGGCGAGCGAACGGGGAGGAGCCCAGAGCCUGAAUCAGCAUGUGUGUUAGUGGAAGCGUCUGGAAAGGCGCGCGAUACAGGGUGAGAGCCCCGUACACAAAAGCGCAUAUGCUGUGAGCUCGAUGAGUAGGGCGGGACACGUGGUAUCCUGUCUGAAUAUGGGGGGACCAUCCUCCAAGGCUAAAUACUCCUGACUGACCGAUAGUGAACCAGUACCGUGAGGGAAAGGCGAAAAGAACCCCGGCGAGGGGAGUGAAACAGAACCUGAAACCGUGUACGUACAAGCAGUGGGAGCCCCACCACUAAGCCAGUGGUGAACUCCACAUACGCAUCCUUUGCGGAAGAUGCGGUUAACGGCGCGCAAGCGACGUUCAACCUCAGAAGAAGCAGAGGGGGCUUAGUGGUGGGGUGACUGCGUACCUUUUGUAUAAUGGGUCAGCGACUUAUAUUCUGUAGCAAGGUUAACCGCAUAGGGGAGCCGAAGGGAAACCGAGUCUUAAUUGGGCGUUAAGUUGCAGGGUAUAGACCCGAAACCCGGUGAUCUAGCCAUGGGCAGGUUGAAGGUUGGGUAACACUAACUGGAGGACCGAACCGACUAAUGUUGAAAAAUUAGCGGAUGACCUGUGGCUGGGGGUGAAAGGCCAAUCAAACCGGGAGAUAGCUGGUUCUCCCCGAAAGCUAUUUAGGUAGCGCCUCGUGAACUCAUCUCCGGGGGUAGAGCACUGUUUCGGCUAGGGGGCCAUCCCGGCUUACCAACCCGAUGCAAACUGCGAAUACCGGAGAAUGUUAUCACGGGAGACACACGGCGGGUGCUAACGUCCGUCGUGAAGAGGGAAACAACCCAGACCGCCAGCUAAGGUCCCAAAGUCAUGGUUAAGUGGGAAACGAUGUGGGAAGGCCCAGACAGCCAGGAUGUUGGCUUAGAAGCAGCCAUCAUUUAAAGAAAGCGUAAUAGCUCACUGGUCGAGUCGGCCUGCGCGGAAGAUGUAACGGGGCUAAACCAUGCACCGAAGCUGCGGCAGCGACACUUUAGUGUUGUUGGGUAGGGGAGCGUUCUGUAAGCCGUUGAAGGUGUCCUGUGAGGGGUGCUGGAGGUAUCAGAAGUGCGAAUGCUGACAUAAGUAACGAUAAAGCGGGUGAAAAGCCCGCUCGCCGGAAGACCAAGGGUUCCUGUCCAACGUUAAUCGGGGCAGGGUGAGUCGACCCCUAAGGCGAGGCCGAAAGGCGUAGUCGAUGGGAAACGGGUUAAUAUUCCCGUACUUGGUGUUACUGCGAAGGGGGGACGGAGAAGGCUAUGUUGGCCGGGCGACGGUAGUCCCGGUUUAAGCGUGUAGGUGUGUGUUCCAGGCAAAUCCGGUUCACUUUAACACUGAGGCGUGAUGACGAGGCACCACGGUGCUGAAGCAACAAAUGCCCUGCUUCCAGGAAAAGCCUCUAAGCAUCAGGUAACAUCAAAUCGUACCCCAAACCGACACAGGUGGUCAGGUAGAGAAUACCAAGGCGCUUGAGAGAACUCGGGUGAAGGAACUAGGCAAAAUGGUGCCGUAACUUCGGGAGAAGGCACGCUGACAC